ensembl:lncRNA
CUUAAACACAUGCUGAGAAAGAAAUUGAAAGCCACCACUAUUCCAAGGACAGAACUUCAGCAGUCUAUGCCUUUAACGUGAUACCCAGCCCUGCUGACAUCAAGAACAAAAAUAGCAUUUAUCCUUUUAUCAAUACACAGCAUUAGUAAUGCAACUGCUUGUGAUAAUGGCUGAAAAUAGAGAGACAGACCUGUUCAGGGGGACUUCUGGAAGGAGUGGACACUGCUGCUAUCCAGUCUGAGAAGAAACCUUGCAUUUCCAAAACUGUUUAAUCCAUGUUUGUUGCCACAAGUGAAAUAUAAAACAAUAGGCUUAGGCUACCAACAACAUAAUUACCCUUGCAACAAAUAGUGCCAGCCCUUUCUUGAACUAUCCUUGCUGCCUGAAGUCCCUGAUGGACCACAAACAAGAGCAGGGGAAGAAGCAGAGCAGCAGAUGACAUCCAUCCAUCAGGGUCAAAAGCAUUACAAAAGAAAUAGAUCUUGUGCAGGACUAAAAUUCAGCUCCGGUGAGACAGUUUUCCCCAUGGGACAAAGCACUGCUAUAUUUCAUCCUUCACUAGAUGCACUCUGCCUACAAAACCAAGUUGAAGUGCACAUGCAGGAUGUUCCCACCAGGAUUCUCUUUGUGAGCUAUAGGACCACGAGACUGGAGGAAGAAACGUGCCAAAAGCAAUGGAUGUGCUCAAGUUUAUACAUAAACAAGGAACUAUUCCAAACCUAGGAUCUUGGGCUGCAGAAACCCAGCACUGAACAAAUUUCAGACUCAGGCUGUCAGUUCUGGAUUAUGUUUAAGGAUGUCUACAUGUACAUGAAUCCUACACUGUUACAAUUCCAGAAAUAUAGUUGAAUGUUUAAUAUGCAAAACUCUUGACAUAGUACGGAAAUAACUUGCAUGUCAGAUUUUCUUUUUCCCCACCAGUGGCAUAGAGGCCUUCUUCACUGACAAGCCUAUUUUACACAAAAUUCAAAGAGCAAACAAUGAAACACUUGCGGAAAUACCUGAUUGAUGGAGAUGAUUUUGCGAGGUUCUGUUCAUGCCCACUUCCAGUGUAGAGAUUUUGAAAACCUUGAAAACACUCUUGUUUGACCUAAUGGUAUUGAUAUGCUAGCAUGGAAAAAAAAACUAUACCUAAG